rnacentral:rRNA from 1 species
GACGAACCGUGCGAACGUUGUUCGGAAUCACUGGGCUUAAAGGGUGCGUAGGCGGGUUUUUAAGUCAGGGGUGAAAUCCUGGAGCUCAACUCCAGAACUGCCUUUGAUACUGAAGAUCUUGAGUCCGGGAGAGGUGAGUGGAACUGCGAGUGUAGAGGUGAAAUUCGUAGAUAUUCGCAAGAACACCAGUGGCGAAGGCGGCUCACUGGCCCGGUACUGACGCUGAGGCACGAAAGCGUGGGGAGCAAACAGG